CAGCAGAGACCGCACAGGAGGAGGAAGAGGAAGAGGAGGAGGAGAGCUCCAGGAUUAUGUCUUCGGGGUUUUCGCCAAGGCGGCAGAGCAGAGUUUGAACCGCUGCUGCGAAUAGUCGCCGAAAAAAGUUACCACGUGUAAAAAAAAAAGAAGCUGCCUCUGACAUUGAAGGAGAAGACGUGGAGCGAUGCGUAAAAUCACUUUUCGCCGCCACUGGAUGUUUGUGUGAUGGCCUGAACUUCGUUUUUGUCCCUGCAGAGCCAACUGUGAUACUCACAGGGACACACUGAGGAGGAGGAGGAGGAGGAGGAGGAGGAGGAAGACUAGGAGCAUGCAGCGAGCACAGAGACACUGUCGGUGAGGCAGCUCUGUGUGGACUCCCUGCCUUUGUUUCCCUCCGUGUCCGUGGCCGGGGAGGAGAUGAGAGCUCAGGAUGGGACUGUGCCUCGGUACCGAAGUCACGGAGGAGGAGAAGAAGGCGAGGAUACACAGUGUCAAGAUAGACAAAGACCUGUACGAGUCCGCCAAGCGCGAGAUGAACGUGGUUAAAAUACUCUUACUAGGUGCAGCAGAGAGCGGCAAAAGCACACUGGUCAAACAGAUGAAGAUCAUCCACAGUAAUGGAUUCACUAAACAAGAGCUAACUAGCUUCAAGCCUGCAGUGCUGGAUAACCUCCUGACCUCCAUGAAGUUUGUCCUCCAUGGCAUGGGCGUCCUCAGGAUCAACCUGGCAAACAGCAGGAACAAGGUCCACGCCCAUUCUGUCCUGUCAUGUGGGCGGUGCUUUGACGAAGAACAGGUGCUGUUUCCCUUCCUGAGCCACGCCCUGUCCUGUCUGUGGACCGACCACGGGGUGAGGGCCGCGGCGGCUCGGGGAUACGAGUACGAGCUGAAUGACUCGGCGCUGUAUUUCUUUGAGAACAUGACCCGCAUCAUGUCUACAGACUACGUGCCCACGGAGACCGAUGUUCUGCGAGUGCGACUGAGGACAACAGGGGUGAUAGAGACACAGUUUAAGGUCAAGCACCUCAUUUUCAGGAUGUAUGACGUCGGAGGCCAGCGCACUGAGCGCAGGAAGUGGAUCAGUUGUUUUGAGGACGUCAGGGCGGUGCUGUUCGUGGUGUCCCUCAGUGGUUACGACAUGACCCUGGUGGAGGACCCCUCCAUGAAUCGGCUGCAAGAGAGCAUGAAGCUCUUCUCCUCCAUCUGCAACAAUGUCUUCUUCCGUAGCACAUCCAUGAUUUUAUUCCUGAACAAGAUAGACCUUUUCCAAGACAAGAUUUUACACUCUGGACGACAUCUGAGGUUAUACCUGCCACAGUUUAAAGGCGCCGACUGCGACGUGGACUCCGCCGCCCGCUUCAUUGCGGCCACCUUCGCGUCACUCAAUUCCAUGCCCAGCAAACUCAUAUACCACCACUUCACCACGGCGACUGACACCUCCAACGUCCAGGUCGUCUUCCAGGUGGUUAUGGACACCAUAAUCAAAGAGAACCUGGAGGCCGUCUCGCUUCUGUAGCAGCCGCCACGGACCUUUGGCCCAAGUGUGUGUCAUUUUACUGGCUCAUGCAUAAGAAAGAGGGGAUCGGACUGAUCGCGGAGAUCUUCUCAUUCAAGCAUGUUGUUUGUCUUCCCUCUUAAAGAGCAGCUCGCGACGAUCACUGUUGAUCACUGUUGACUUUGAGUCCUUGGAGGCGCUCGAGUUCAUGUGCUAACACAACUAACAGUGAUGGCCUUUUGUUGGUUUGUACUGUGCUCGGAAAUCCAAUGAUGAACACUCUAAAGACACAAGCGUGUGUGUGUGUGUGCGCAUAUAUGUACAGUAUGCACAUUCACCUGCCACUUUCAUAGCUACACAGGACACCCAUCAGAGUGGCACACAGUGUUGCCGCCCACUGCUGUAGACCAUCUGCUUCAGAGUGUGACGUACACUCACAGUCAGUAGUUAUUCCAGUUAGUGUAGCCUUUCUAUCUUUUCAAAGCUGUCUGGCCAUUCUCUGAUAUUUUCAGUCUCUGUGAACGCCAGAGAUCACUGUGUGUUCAAAUGCCGCUUGAUCAACAGUUUCUGAAGUUCUGAAAUCACUGAAAUCGCCUUUCUUCCUCAUGCCGAUUCCCCGUUUCCGCUUCAGCAGGUGGUCUUGACCAUGUCUGUGUGCCUAAAUGCAUUAAGUUGAUGCCAUGUGAUUGGAUGACUACAUAUUUAGUUGAACGGGUCCACCUCACAAAGUGAGCCCGAAUCGGCUCCCGGGGAUCGGUGGAGGAUGAGGACUUUCUCCGCUUGGUCAGCUUCCGGACUCACGCGGACAGGCAGUCCAGGGAGUCCAGGGUGAGGAAGACAUCCGCCUUGCACUGGAAGGUGCCUGUCCCGUCCCGCAGAAGCUCACAGCUCUUCAGGUUUGGAGAGAUGUCCUUCACGCAGAUGGCCUGCAGCAGCGUCUCUCCAGUCUCGGACCUCCGGACAUACGGCGACCUCCUGAUGCCGGACAGCAAACCGGAGGCGCGACCCACCGAGUAGUAACUGGGCCCGGCCGUCUGCUUGUACCAGGCUUCGACUGGGUGGCAAGAGAUGAGCAGAGACACUCCGACGCACACCACGGCGAAUCUGACGGACCUCUCCAUGUUUUUUUUUACGCACAAGUAAAACGGCGAUGUCUCCGUCUGCUCUGUCUGAUACGCUUAGCUGGGUUGUUUGGGAAACUUUGUGCUGCUUUUAUAGGCUGCGUGGCAGACGUUAUCGUGACCCAGGGACGUUCGUCAAAUCCAAAGUGACGUGGGCGGAUGAUGACCCGUCUUUAUGGAGGAGAAGGAAAAAGACCAAUCACAAUCGAUCCGUUUUUCGUGGCGUGUCGGGGGCAUGAGAGGGGUGGUGGUGGUGCACGUGUGUGUGUGCGUGUGUGUGUAUGCACUUGUAUUUGUUACCUCUUUAGGACAUCUUUCUGGUGUAAACACUCACCAAGUCAGGACUAGUUCUGUCUCAUGGACCUAAUGAGACUCAUUAUCUGAGGAACUGGUUAAGAUUUGAAUUGUGGGUAGAAUAAAGUUAGGGUUUGGCAAACCUGUGUGUGUGUGUGUGUGUGUGUGUAGGAGUAUGAGGGGGCUGGAGAUAUACAGGGAUGUCAUUCCUCUGACGCUUGUAGAGGUAAAAGUGAAAUGGAUUACUAGAAGUGAACCAGGAUAGGCGCUGACGCAGGCUGGUUUGUCCAGUCAGUGACAAACAAAAUGUUCUCCUUCAUCACCAUAAUCUUCUUCAUCACUGAUCACUGCUUUCACUUAAUCCCUGAAAUGUAUAAAUAAAUAACUAAAAACACUGUACUGUAUGCAACAUGUGCAUCAAAGCGUGUGCCUUUGUGGCUUCAAACGAAUUUCAACAAAGUGGACGGAUUGGCGUAGAAAAGAAAAAAAGAUGAGCACAUCAAUAAACAUGGGUCAAUAAUU